rnacentral:lncRNA from 1 species
UCAAAUUGGGGCCACUUAAACAUGAUGGCUCUCUUGUUACCUUAAUAUAUGAUACUAACUUUUAUGUAAGUGACAUAUGUUGUACUUUUUGCUACAUAUUUUCACUAUGAGUAGAAAUAUCUCUAAAACAGUGUCACUGGAUUGAAAAUUGUCAUUUUAUGCAAUAAUUGGCUAACUGUAUUGACAUAAAUUUUAUCAGCCAUUAGCCACUACGCUCUGAGGUGACAAAUUUUAUUACAUGUAUGAUGUAUAUGCACUGUUAAGUUACAGACCUAAGGUGGGUGAUGUCAGGCAAAUCCCUAUUUUAAUAUAUAUUUGAGAUUGUAUUUUUAGAAUUCGAAUGGGGACUAUUGCCUGUCAUUGGCUAUGAAAUUGUCAUGAUAAAAUACUGUUCAAUCUGUAAUGAAUACAUUCAAGUAAUAUGCAUAUUAAUUGCAAUUGUAUGUCAGCAGUGUAAUGGUUCUGCAUAGAGCCUCUGCAGUCAUACAUGUGGAAGAACUCACUGCAAAGAGUGAGAUGAGAAGUGAAAGAGCCACUAGAAAUGUUACAGGGAUGAUGAGCAGGACAGUAUAAAGCAUAGAUCUUGGCCAGACACUCAUGACCUCUGGAGGAUAGUCCUCGGCCCAUAUACUCCUAUAUAUCCUACUGGACUAGGAAUUGUUGUGGCACUAGGUAUACAAAUGAGACAAUUUACUGGUCUUCACAGAAAACACAAGAACCCUUUGGUAACCAGGAAACAGUGCUUGUUGUCAGCAAUAGUUUUGCGGGCCCUACCAACCAUGCAUCACUGACAGUAAACAGUGCUAACAACUUAAAAGAACAUUGUGAACAAGCACGAUGCAUUCCAUAUGUAGUAACUGGUUAGAAACUGUUGAGGAACACAAGUAAAAUAGCUCAAGUGUGAAAUGUGAGAAGUAUGGCUACAGACCAUGAACUCCAGAUGUAAAACGAUGCAGGUCUUCCUUCUACAUGGUGAAUUAGGGAAACAUUGUGAAUGGCAGUCAUAGAGAACAUUGAAGUCUGUAGAAUUGUGAUGUGUCAGCCAGUCUUCCAGUCAUUCUGGUCCGUCAUUGUUGGGUCAGCAAAUUUGCAGUGCAUGCCUGGAUUUAACAGCUUGGCACAGGUUUUACCAUUAUAAAGACAGGAAGUUGUAACAGAUUUAAAGUAAUUUAUUUUGUUUCAUCUGAAAGCUUGAUUGACUUUCAUAUGAUUUGUGGGGACUGAAUUAGACUUUUUCAAAGGUCAAAGUUAUUGUUUUUAGCUCGACUAUAAGAAAUGUAUGGAGAGCUAACCUACUUGCCCCUGGCGAUAACGUCCUUCCGAGUCCACAUCUUGGUUAAAGUUUUUAU